CCUACGGUGGGCAGCAGUGGGGAAUAUUGGACAAUGGGGGCAACCCUGAUCCAGCCAUGCCGCGUGUGUGAAGAAGGCCCUCGGGUUGUAAAGCACUUUCAGUGAGGAAGAACGCCUGGUGGUUAAUACCCAUCAGGAAAGAUAUCACUCACAGAAGAAGCACCGGCUAACUCCGUGCCAGCAGCCGCGGUAAUACGGAGGGUGCGAGCGUUAAUCGGAAUUACUGGGCGUAAAGCGCGCGUAGGUGGCUUGAUAAGCCGGUUGUGAAAGCCCCGGGCUCAACCUGGGAACGGCAUCCGGAACUGUCAAGCUAGAGUGCAGGAGAGGAAGGUAGAAUUCCCGGUGUAGCGGUGAAAUGCGUAGAGAUCGGGAGGAAUACCAGUGGCGAAGGCGGCCUUCUGGACUGACACUGACACUGAGGUGCGAAAGCGUGGGUAGCAAACAGGAUUAGAUACCCGAGUAGUC
rnacentral:rRNA from 1 species